ACAAUGGCGCGGUCCUCUGCGCGGCUGGCCACGCCGAUCACGGCGACUGUCAUUUGUGCCCGUUUCUCGUGGCGUUCGUGUUCAGUCAGCAGAGUGAUUUCAAUACCUCCGCGUGCGUCUACUCGUCCGAGAUAAGCGUUUGGGGUGAGAUCUAUUCGAUCGAAAUUCCAAAUGUAUUAGUUACAUGGGCGCCGACGCCACUGAUUGGAAAUACACUCUACUGGAUGUUGGAUACCUCUGGCGGCGCUAUCAAAAAUGAGUGUUGGAUCGUUGAGUUUGAUUUGGAUGCACACAAUUUGGAUUUAACUGGGGAGAUUCCAUACUACGUGCUCGAUAAGUACAAUAGGCAAAUUGUUCUCAUGCCAGCAGAUGAUGGACGGCUUGGUUUCGCCGGAGUUGACAAAUUCAGUCUCCAUUUGUGGUCAAGUGUAGCUUGUGUUGACGGGAUGGUAACAUGGGCACAUUGCAGAGUCAUUGAUCUGGAGAAUUUUCUUGCACUGGAAGCAGUAGCGGCGUGUCAGUAUGUACCAGAUGCAGUUGGCUAUGCUGAAGAUGCCAAUGUGAUCUUCAUUCGUGUGGAUCCAAACAUCUAUAUGAUUCAUCUCAACACCAUGCAGAUUGAGGAGGUUUCAGAGAAAGGGGCCUAUUGGUUUGUUUUUCCUUACACAAGUUUCUACACUCCAGCAAAAGCUCUUCGCAGUUGUUUUAUUGCCCACGAUUGCCAUCGGUUUAUUGGCUCAUUCUUCUCAUAGGACUUGCCAUUGGUGGUGGAGAUGAUCAAGCGGAAAUAUUGAACGGAAGUUAAGAUGAUUGGGCUUUCACAUCUGCAGUCACGCUUUGUUGGUCUAAGAGGUCGCACAAUUCAUGUGGAGUGUUACUCGGGAAGCCACCGGCUACCGUCUUGGACUCCAGCUUGCUCUCUUCUACUUGUACAAAUUCUGCUCAAGACCCCGAGAAGGCCCUGAUAGAAGUGGGACCGUCUCUUCUGAGCUUUGAAGUCCCGAGUAAUUGACCCGUUUCCCAAGCAGAGUCUCACGAAAUUCGUCGAAUACAAAGGGCUCCGAGAGGAAGCUUGCCUCGAAGGCAUUUGGCGCACUUGCGUGGUACUUGUGGGGUGUCAGAAAUAAAGCUUUAUUUGAGGGUAUUAGAUUCAAACAGCCGGCUGAUGUCUUCUACAAAAUGAUUGCCCUUCAGCUUGGAGACAGUUGGUGAGGCAUGGGGAGGAAUUACUGUUGCUUGACCACUUAUUGGACACCAUGCGAGCUAGGGCUUGUCAGCACAACUCCACCUAGGCUGUUCUUCAUGGUGCUUCUGUUUUGAGCUCAUCUCUACCACGCUGCGUCGUGUGUACCCGGCCCUGAGGCCCUGUAUUGAACCGAUUCUUUAUUUUCUGCUGCUUGUAUGUGCCUCAUCGCCUAUUUGGUCCUUCGGAUCCCGUACCUUUACACGGUGCUGCUACCAGACUGUUUUUUAGGGCAUUAUUUAAGGUCAGGUGACGUUCUAAUUAAAAAUAUGUUAACUCGUACCGAAUGUUAGGGCAUUUGGCUCUGCAAGCUGAACAUUAGGUUCCAAACCCAUUUAGGGCAUUUGGCUCUGCAAGCUGAACAUUAGGUUCCAAACUCUGCUAUUCGUCGAUGCCAUGCCAUGCCAUGCCAUGCCAGCAUGACAUUCCCAGGCAAGUAGUUGUCAUGCGGUUCUUUUAGCAAUAAAAUUGUAGCUUUGGGUGAGGAUGCUUUUUGCUGAUACGGUGCAGAAAGCUAUCUCUUCAGAUAUUCUUGAAGGUUCAUACUCGUGAACGAAACCACUUGAUUUUGUUUUUACUGUCUUUUGGAGAGAACCGUAUGUUUCAAUUGGAUUUAGAGUUUUGGGUUCAUCUUCAAGUUACGUACUUGCACUGAGUUUGGAACCAAAUGUUCAGCUUGCAGAGCCAAAUGGGUUUGAUUCAUGUGCAUACCGACUUUAGGAUGCAUGACCACGAGCAUGAUCAUGAGCACCUGACGACU